rnacentral:rRNA from 1 species
AUUGAACGCUAGCGGCAUGCUUAACACAUGCAAGUCGAACGGCAGCGGGGGAAAGCUUGCUUUCCUGCCGGCGAGUGGCGGACGGGUGAGUAACGCGUAGGAAUUUGCCUUUUGGUGGGGGAUAACCCGGGGAAACUCGGGCUAAUACCGCAUAAUCUCUAAGGAGCAAAGCGGGGGACCUUCGGGCCUCGUGCCAUUAGAUAAGCCUGCGUCAGAUUAGCUUGUUGGUGGGGUAAUGGCCUACCAAGGCGACGAUCUGUAGCUGGUCUGAGAGGAUGACCAGCCACACUGGGACUGAGACACGGCCCAGACUCCUACGGGAGGCAGCAGUGGGGAAUAUUGGACAAUGGGGGCAACCCUGAUCCAGCAAUGCCGCGUGUGUGAAGAAGGCCUUCGGGUUGUAAGCACUUUCAGUGGGGAAGAAGGCCUAAGGUUAAUAUCCUUAGAGUUGACGUUACCACAGAAGAAGCACUGGCUAACUCUGUGCAGCG